GACGAACGCUGGCGGCGUGCUUAACACAUGCAAGUCGAACGGAAAGGCCCUGCUUUUGUGGGGUGCUCGAGUGGCGAACGGGUGAGUAACACGUGAGUAACCUGCCCUUGACUUUGGGAUAACUUCAGGAAACUGGGGCUAAUACCGGAUAGGAGCUCCUGCUGCAUGGUGGGGGGUGGAAAGUUUCGGCGGUUGGGGAUGGACUCGCGGCUUAUCAGCUUGUUGGUGGGGUAGUGGCUUACCAAGGCUUUGCCGGGUAGCCGGCCUGCGCGGGUGACCGGCCACAUUGGGACUGAGAUACGGCCCAGACUCCUACGGGAGGGAGCGGUGGGGAAUAUUGCACAAUGGGCGGAAGCCUGAUGCAGCAACGCCGCGUGCGGGAUGACGGCCUUCGGGUUGUAAACCGCUUUCGCCUGUGACGAAGCGUGAGUGACGGUAAUGGGUAAAGAAGCACCGGCUAACUACGUG
rnacentral:rRNA from 1 species